UACAGAGGUCCCAAGCGUUGUUCGGAUUCACUGGGCGUAAAGGGUGCGUAGGUGGUGAGGUAAGUUUGAUGUGAAAUCUCCGGGCUUAACCCGGAAAUGGCAUUGAAUACUAUCUUGCUAGAGGAGUGGAGGGGGGACUGGAAUACUUGGUGUAGCAGUGAAAUGCGUAGAUAUCAAGUGGAACACCAGUGGCGAAGGCGGUUCUCUGGGCAUUACCUGACGCUGAGGAGCGAAAGUGUGGGAGCGAACAGG
rnacentral:rRNA from 1 species